UUAAGUUGUGCAGAUACAUCUGUCAAUGGCGUCAUAUCCCUUUUACUCCCUCUACUUGCUGUAACUUCUGGAGAAACAUGGGAAAGACCAGAUGAUACAUCAGAGUGAGGAAGGAACUCAAAGAACUAGCUAGCCAUUCUAUUAUUUACUAUUGUUUGUAUUACUCACUCGUGAUGGAGAAGGAUUAUUCAUUGCCGUUUGCUGCGCAUUCUGACGCCGAAGCUGUCCUCGUAAAGUGCAAAUGUACGGGUGAAUCAAAUGACCCAAGAAGAUUAUGGGGCAAGAAGAGAGCUAAAACAAGGGUAAAUAUUGGUGUGGCAUUUCCAAGAUGGAGAGCUUCAUGACAAGCAAGGACUACAAAUAGACGCCGAUCUUGCAUGUGUUCUGUUAGACAGGAGGACCAUCCACACGUCAACUCCAAGCAAGAGACCUGGAAUGGAAUGCCUUUUCAGGCUCUCUCUACCGUAUCACCAUCCACUGACUCACCAUCAGAUAGACGACUGCUUUCGGGAGCCUGGAAUUGAAGACCUUUCCAUGGCAGUACAAGUGCCUCAUGCCAGCCACCAAGCUAAUGCAUAUGUAAUGGUAAGUUAACGUUAUGUAAUAGAAAUGGUUAUAAUGGUUUAUAGUUAACGUCACUUGAGGCUAUUUCAUUAGAAUGAAAUGACAUAACAUGAAUAUAACUUUAAUACAUUACCUCAUACGUGAACAUGUUUUCGCCUCUCUUCUUUCCUUCUUCUGUCUGAGUCUCGUCAGAUCGAUUUCCAUCGGCAAUGGUGGUUGUUUAACAAUGAAGACAAAAACUCCCAUGAUCCCACACUACUUUAAGAUGUCAUCAAACUCAAGCAACAGAAAUUAGCCUAAAUACCGUGUGUUUAGAAGAUCUGAUAAAUAUAUAUUGGCAGAUGUUUUCUUUUUGUUUUUUUGUAUAUGUGAACACAUAACAUAAACAGCUUCUUUUGAUAAGAAUCCCGUAAAUGUGUUUUUUUGGUUAUCUUUAGUUAUUGUCCCUAUGAUAGGUAGUAGACGGGAUAUUUUAGAAUUAAACUAAACAUUGUUUCUAAAUGAUCUCAGAUAUAUAAUUUGCCAUUCCUGUACUAAGUUAUACAUGCUCAUACAGAUCUAUACCAUUGACCAAGGUCACAUACUACUUGUAGCCUAUGCUAGUUUGCUAUUCCCUAGAUUGGCACAUAUAUAUA